CUCUUAUUUCGGUGCUUUAAUUGUGUCCAUUUUCCUAAUGUUAGUUGUUUUUGUGUCUUGUACUGAUCUUUUUAGUUAAUCCUAUUGCAACUGAUUUUUAAAGUUUGUUCUUAUGUUGUAGUAUUACUCCGCUGUCCCAUUUUGGGGGAGGAUUGUGCGUUCACAUACAUUUUAACCCUCCCAUAUUCUUUUAAUAUGUGUCUGUGCCAAGUCAGGAGCAUGUAGUUCAGUGUUUGUCUUUGGUUCAUGUCUGUCGACUCAUAUUUGGUUUCUGUAAAUUAUUUUGUUAUAUAUAAUAAGGCCGUUCGUGUUUUGUUUGAAUUGUUUCACAUUUUUCAUGUCGGGGCCUUUCAUAGCCGACUAUAUGGUAUGAGUUUUUGUUAUUGUUGAAGGCCGUACGGGUGCCUAUAAUUGCAAUUGCUUGAAUCCACUUCAUUUGAACUCUGGUGGAUUGCAAUCAUACCAGAUCUCCCUUUUUUCUAUAUUAUAUACCUGACUUUUGAACUCGUGUUUUCCUGAACCUUCAUGGAAUAUUUGGCACUGGGCGUUAAAAAAAAAUAUCUUUAUUUUUUCAGGGGUGGAGUGGGGGACAGGAUGAUUUUGAAUAUGAAUAAGGUCUGGUAAGAGCUGAAAAAAUGGCAAACUUAGCGACAGAUUGAAAUGAAUGAUGAAUCAGUAAAACAAAUCCUCCUGCCCCUCCCCUCCCCAGAAUAUCAAAUAGUCGUCCUCUUACUGCUAUUGUCCGUGUAGUUUUUAUAUUCAUCCAGAUUAUCGUCCCUACAGGGAUGUUCUACUAAGGCUGCCAUACCAUGAAAACGUUUAUCACACAGCUCACAUUCUAUUAUAUCUGCAUUCAUAAAUUUAUUAAUGCUAUGUAGACUAAACGCAUUAUGUUUGUUAUGCAUGUGUCGUCUAAACUAUAUAUAUGUAAAAGGAAGAGGUAGAAGAGAGACAGAAGAUAUUUCCAAUGCAAAGAAAUACAAACAGAUAUUGACCUCUUCUGGCUCACUACCGAAGAACCAAAAAAAACCACGCCCAUCUAUAGGAGAGUCACGUGGGUGGGGUUAACAGAAUAGAGAAUACUAAUGGGCAAACUAUAAAGAAUAGAGAAAAAUGGGGGGGGGGAAAAAAUAAAGAAUAUAUAAUAUUGAGGUGCUAAAAUAUGAAGAAUAGCAAAACAUGGGCAAAAAGUAAGAAAAAUUAAAGAAUAUAGAAAUGAAGGACCGGCUCAUCCAACUUCUCAGCCCUCCUAUCCAUGAUGCAUUUUAUUUGGGCUUUUUUUUUUUAAAAGAUCAGCUGUUCAAUAUUUAAUACUAUGAAUCAGUUAGCUAGACUCAGGGGCGGAUCCAGGAUUUUUGAAACUGAAGGGGGCGGGAUAUUCCCCAAAACGGAAUUUAUAUACCGUCGAGCGGAGCGAGCCGAUUUUUUUUUUGGACAACUUUAUUGUAAAAAACUUAUAAAUCGUGAGAGUAAAACAUGAGAACUCUUUUUUUUUUCGUUCAAAGGGGGAGUGUACACCCUCUACGUCAACCUGGAUCCGCCACUGCGAGGGCAAUCUUGUCGGAUAUAUUUAUCAUGAGAUUUUCCGGAGAAAUAAGUCCUGAAACGAGUUGUACAAUAUAUGCGCACCAGAUUUCGCGCCCCCUGUCAAAAGUCUGUUUCCUGUAAUUGUGAAAGAAAUGGAAAAACAGACGAUUUUGUUAAAAUAUACUCUAAGAUAUAACCAAGAUAUUGUGAGAACACAGAAAAGUAAGUGAAAAUAAAACAGACUUCAAUCGAUAAAAAGUUGGUUCUUCUAGAACGACAGUCGACAUGUAAAAAAAAUAUGAAUUUAUCAAAAUUUAUCGUCUCUACCAGUACAGUAUAUAACGACCUAUUUACUAUGGUUAUGAAAAGAAAUAAACUAGUUUUGUUAACUUUUUCUAAAAAUUGUGAUCGCAUAGAAGUUUUCAUAUCAAUAAUUAAACUUUUGGAUACGAGUUGUCUCCACUUAAACUGUUGGACUGCUUACUCGCUAAUGUAGCACCGAGAAACAAGAAGAAAACAAAUUGAGGGUAAAUAAAUUAUCAAGAAACAUGCAUUAAAGUCAUUCUUUAAAGUGGUGUUGUUUAAAAAUGUAUGGGAGCAACCACUCAACUUAAAAGAAAGGGGGGGGGGUAUGGGUUUUUGUCUGAGUCCUUUCGAGCAAAGCCUGAACAAUUUUAUUUAGU
rnacentral:lncRNA from 1 species